rnacentral:rRNA from 1 species
UGGGGAAUAUUGGACAAUGGGCGAAAGCCUGAUCCAGCAAUGCCGCGUGAGUGAUGAAGGCCUUAGGGUUGUAAAGCUCUUUUACCCGGGAUGAUAAUGACAGUACCGGGAGAAUAAGCUCCGGCUAACUCCGUGCCAGCAGCCGCGGUAAUACGGAGGGAGCUAGCGUUGUUCGGAAUUACUGGGCGUAAAGCGCACGUAGGCGGCUUUGUAAGUUAGAGGUGAAAGCCUGGAGCUCAACUCCAGAAUUGCCUUUAAGACUGCAUCGCUCGAAUCCAGGAGAGGUGAGUGGAAUUCCGAGUGUAGAGGUGAAAUUCGUAGAUAUUCGGAAGAACACCAGUGGCGAAGGCGGCUCACUGGACUGGUAUUGACGCUGAGGUGCGAAAAGCGUGGGGAGCAAACAGGAUUAGAUACCCUGGUAGUCCACGCCGUAAACGAUGAUAACUAGCUGUCCGGGGACUUGGUCUUUGGGUGGCGCAGCUAACGCAUUAAGUUAUCCGCCUGGGGAGUACGGCCGCAAGGUUAAAACUCAAAUGAAUUGACGGGGUCAUAGCUGUUU